GAUGAACGCUGGCGGCGUGCCUAAUACACGCAAGUCGAACGGACGGACGAGAAGCUUGCUUCUUGGAUGUUAGCGGCGGACGGGUGAGUAACACGUGUAUAACCUACUUAUAAGACUGGUAUAACUUGGGGAAACCGGAGCUUACACCGUAUAAUAUCUUGAACCGUAUGGUUCAAAAGUGAAAGACGGUCUUGCUGUCACUUAUAGAUGGAUCCGCGCUGCAUUAGCUAGUUGGUAAGGUAACGGCUUACCAAGGCAACGAUGCAUAGCCGACGUGAGAGGGUGAUCGGCCACACGGGAAGUGAGACACGGUCCAGACGCCUAAGGGAGGCAGCAGUAGGGAACCGUCCGCAGUGGGGGAAAGCCUGACGGAGCAAGGGCGAGCGAGUGAUAGAAGUCUUCGGAUCGUAAAAAUCUGUUACUAGGGAAGAACAGAUGUGGAAGGAACUGUGCACAGAUUGACGGUACCUAAUCAGAAAGCAACGGCUAACUACGUG
rnacentral:rRNA from 1 species